UACGUAGGGGGCAAGCGUUGUCCGGAAUCAUUGGGCGUAAAGCGCGUGUAGGCGGCUUGGUAAGUCCGCUCUGAAAGCCCCGGGGGCUCAACCCCGGGAGGCGGGUGGAUACUGUCAAGCUCGAGUCCGGAAGAGGCGAGUGGAAUUCCUGGUGUAGCGGUGAAAUGCGCAGAUAUCAGGAGGAACACCAAUGGGCGAAGGCAGCUCGCUGGGACGUGACUGACGCUGAGACGCGAAAGCGUGGGGAGCAAACAGG
rnacentral:rRNA from 1 species